rnacentral:rRNA from 1 species
CGCCCACUAGCUAGCCCCCCAAACCAAAAACAACACACCAAUAUAAAUAUCCCUAAAUGCACUAACACCCGCAUAAAACAAACCAUUUUUCCCCCUUAGUAUGGGCGACAGAAAAGGAACCGUGGCGCAAUAGAGAAAGUACCGCAAGGGAACGCUGAAAGAGAAAUGAAACAACUCAGUCAAGCUAAAAAAAGCAGAGAUUUAAGCUCGUACCUUUUGCAUCAUGAUUUAGCCAGUAAAACCCAAGCAAAGAGCCCUUUAGUUUGGUUUCCCGAAACUAAGUGAGCUACUCCAAGACAGCCUAUUAAUAGGGCAAACCCGUCCCUGUGGCAAAAGGGUGGGAAGAGCUUUGAGUAGAGGUGACAAACCUACCGAACUUAGUUAUAGCUGGUUGCCUGAGAAUUGAAUAGAAGUUCAGCCUCUCGGCUUCUUCCCUCACCCUCGUCCGACCCCCCUCUGACACCUUAAGAAACCGCGAGAGUUACUCAAAGGGGGUACAGCCCCUUUGAGACAAGACACAACUUUACCAGGAGGGUAAAGAUCAUAAUAACAAAAAGGUAAAAUGUUCUGGUGGGCCUAAAAGCAGCCAUCCCUAUAGAAAGCGUUAAAGCUCAGACAUACCCCUCAUCCUUUUAUACUGAUAAUCUAAUCUUAACCCCCUAACCCUACCAGGCCAUCCCAUGCAAACAUGGGAGCGACUAUGCUAAUAUGAGUAAUAAGAGAGCCUCCGCCUCUCUCCUUGCACACGUGUAAAUCGGAAUGGACCCCCCACCGAAUCUUAACGGCCCCAAAUAAAGAGGGAACUGAACAAGAGACCAAMCMACCAGAAAANCYCCCCCCCMGGNUAANNNNNNNNANAAAAAAAAANAGGGNNUUNGNCNAAACCCCNAAAAAANCCCNNNCCCUUUUUUNCCCAAAAAAAANNUNNNCNUUUUUNNNAAAAANUGNNGGAAANNAAGAAGGUACCCCCCCCCCSCCCNNGSKRUGAYWAUNUUUUUAACGGCCGCGGUAUUUUGACCGUGCGAAGGUAGCGCAAUCACUUGUCUUUUAAAUGGAGACCNGUAUGAANGGCAUAACGAGGGCUUAGCUGUCUUCUUUUUUCAGUCAAUGAAAUUGAUAUCCCCCCGUGCAGAACSGGGGAUAACACCAUAAGACGAGAAGACCCUAUGGAGCUUUAGACACCAAGGCAGAUCAUGUUAAACACCCCUUCACAAAGGACUAAACCAGAUGAACCCUGCCCUAAUGUCUUUGGUUGGGGCGACCGCGGGGAAACAAAAAACCCCCAUGUGGAAUGGGAACACUCCUUCCUACAACUAAGAGCUCCCGCUCUAAUGACCAGAACUUCUGACCAAUCAGAUCCGGCAACGCCGAUCAACGAACCGAGUUACCCUAGGGAUAACAGCGCAAUCCCCUUUUAGAGCCCAUAUCGACAAGGGGGUUUACGACCUCGAUGUUGGAUCAGGACAUCCUAAUGGUGCAGCCGCUAUUAAGGGUUCGUUUKUCAACGAUUAAAAWCCUMCCYGNNGAUNUGAGUUCNNANCGGA